AGUCUGAUGGAGCAACGCCGCGUGAGUGAAGAAGGGUUUCGGCUCGUAAAGCUCUGUUGGUAGUGAAGAAAGAUAGAGGUAGUAACUGGCCUUUAUUUGACGGUAAUUACUUAGAAAGUCACGGCUAACUACGCGCCAGCAGCCGCGGUAAUACGUAGGUGGCAAGCGUUGUCCGGAUUUAUUGGGCGUAAAGCGAGUGCAGGCGGUUCAAUAAGUCUGAUGUGAAAGCCUUCGGCUCAACCGGAGAAUUGCAUCAGAAACUGUUGAACUUGAGUGCAGAAGAGGAGAGUGGAACUCCAUGUGUAGCGGUGGAAUGCGUAGAUAUAUGGAAGAACACCAGUGGCGAAGGCGGCUCUCUGGUCUGCAACUGACGCUGAGGCUCGAAAGCAUGGGUAGCGAACAGGAUUAGAUACCCUGGUAGUCCAUGCCGUAAACGAUGAGUGCUAAGUGUUGGGAGGUUUCCGCCUCUCGGUGCUGCAGCUAACGCAUUAAGCACUCCGCCUGGGGAGUACCGCCGCAAGGUUGAAACUCAAAGGAAUUGACGGGGGCCCGCACAAGCGGUGGAGCAUGUGGUUUAAUUCGAAGCAACGCGAAGAACCUUACCA
rnacentral:rRNA from 1 species